UAUAUGAGGUCCCAUUUGUUGAUUCUCAAUUCUAUAGCACAAGCCAUUGCUUUUCUGUUCAGGAAGUUUUCCCCUGUGCCCAUAUCUUUGAGGCUUUUCCCCACUUUCUCCUCUAUAAGUUUUAGUGUCUCUGGUUUUAUGUGGAGUUCCUUGAUCCAAUUAGACUUGAGCUUUGUACAAGGGGAUAAGAAUGGAUCAAUUUGCAUUCGUCUACAUGUUAACUGCCAGUUGAGCCAGUACCAUUUGUUGGAAAUGCUGUCUUUCUUCCACUGGAUUAUUUUAGCUCCUUUGUUAAAGAUCAAGUAACCAUAGAUGUGUGGGUUCAUUUCUGGGUCUUCAAUUCUAUUCCAUUAAUUGUCUGUUGCUGAACCAGUACCAUGCAGUUUUUAACACAAUUGCUCUGUAGUACAGCUUUAGGUCAGGCAUGGUGAUUCCACCAGAGUUUCUUUUAUCCUUGAGAAUAGUUUUUGCUAUCCUAGGUUUUUUGUUAUUCCAGAUGAAUUUGCAAAUUGCCCUUUCUAACUCUGUGAAUAAUUGAGUUGGAAUUUUGAUGGGGAUUGCAUUGAAUCUGUAGAUUGCUUUCUGCAAGAUAGCCAUUUUGACUAUAUUAAUCCUGCCAAUCCAUGAGCAUGGGAGAUCUUUCCAUCUUCUGAGAUCUUCUUUGAUUUCUUUCUUCAGAGACUUGAAGUUCUUCUCAUACAGAUCUUUUACUUCCUUAGUUAGAGUCACACCAAGGUAUUUUAUAUUAUUUGUGACUAUUGUGAAGGGUGUUGUUGCCCUAAUUUCUUUCUCAGUCUGUUUAUCCUUUGUGUAGAGAAAGGCCACUGAUUUGUUUGAGUUAAUUUUAUAUCCAUCUACUGCACUGAAGCUGUUUAUCAGGUUUAGGAGUUCUCUGGUGGAAUUUCUAGGGUCACUUAUAUAUACUAUCAUAUCAUCUGCAAGUAGUGAUAUUUUGCCUUCUUCCUUUCCAAUUUGUAUCCCCUUGAUCUUCUUUUUUGUCUAAUUGCCCUGGCUAGAACUUCAAGUACUAUAUUGAAUAGGUAGGGAGGAAGUGGGUAGCCUUGUGUAGUCCCUGAUCUUAGUAGGAUUGCUUUCAGCUUCUCUCCAUUUACUUUGAUGUUGACCACUGGUUUGCUGUAUAUUGCUUUUAUUAUGUUUAGGUAUGGGCCUUGAAUUCCUGAAUUUUCCAAAACUUUUAUCAUGAGUGGGUGUUGGAUUUUGUCAAAUACUUUCUCAGCAUCUAAAGAGAUGAUCAUGUGGUUUUUGUCUUUGAGCUUGUUUAUAUAGUGGAUCAUGUUGAUGGAUUUCCAUAUAUUAAACCAUCCCUGCAUCCAUGGAAUGAAGCCUACUUGAUCAUGAUGGAUGAUCAUUUCGAUGUGUUCUUGGAUUAGGUUUGUCAGGAUUUUAUUGAGUAUUUUUGCAUGGAUAUUCAUAAGAGAAUUUGGUCUGAAGUUCUCUUUCUUUUUGGGUUUUUGUGUGGCUUAGGUAUCAGAGUAAUUGUGGCUUCAUAGAAUGAAUUGGGUAGAGUACCUUCUGUUUCUAUUUUGUGGAAUACUUUGAGGAGAACUGGAAUUAGAUCUUCUUUGAAGGUCUGAUAGAACUCUGCACUAAACCCAUCUGGUUCUGGGCUUUUUUUGGUUGGGAGACUAUUAAUGACUGAUUCUAUUUCUUUAGGGGAUAUGGGACUGUUUAGGUCAUUUAUCUGAUCCUGAUUUAACUUUGGUACCUGGUAUCUGUCUAGAAAUUUGUCCAUUUCACCCAGGUUUUCCAGUUUUGUUGAGUAUAGCCCUUUGUAGUAGGAUCUUAUGGUGUUUUGGAUUUCUUCAGGAUCUGUUGUUAUGUCUCCCUUUUCAUUUCUGAUUUUGUUAAUUAGGACACUGUCCCUGAGCCCUAUAGUGUGUUUGGCUAAGGGUUUUUCUAUCUUGUUGAUUUUCUCAAAGAACCAACUCCUGGUUUGGUUGAUUCUUUGAAUAGUGCUUUUCUUGGUUGAUUUCAGCCCGAGUUUGAUUAUUUCCCCCUCCUCCUUGCUGAGGGUAAAGGCCAGAAGGGACCUUGUCCAAGAAGCUUUGUUGCUUCUGCAGCCCAUGUGCUCUCCUGGUUGGACUGGUCUCUGAGAGACCUGGUAUACAAGAUGGCACUCUCACCUGAGUCCCGGGGUCAGAGCCCCCUCUGGAGGCUGACUCUCCUACGAUCCUGGGUGUGCUAGGGCACCUGUGGUGUGGAGAGUCCUCUGUGGACCAUAAAACUGUCUGUGGAGUGUGGUCCCUAGGUGGAAUGGGGCUGGCACUGACUGGAACGAACCCCAGCUGCUGGUUGGGCUGGUUUCCUGUGGCCCUGUUCCUGCUUGCACAGGCACUCCUGGUUGUUUUGGAACAGAUGUUGAAUUCCACUUACCAGUGAUCCCAAGAUCCUGGGUGUGCUAGGGUACCUGCUGUGUAGAGAGUCCUCUGGGGACUCUCAGAUUCUCUGCCAAAUUCACGCCCGAGGUGAGCCACUUGAUUUUAAGUGUAAGCUUUGUAUAGAAUAUACAGUUUUCUAAAAAUUGGUCUUGAAAGUCAUAGGAAUGAAAAACAUAUGUAAUAGAAAAUAAUAACUGAAGCACAUUGAUAUGAUUCAUAACAAAUGUUACAAGAGAACUACAAUAAUCUUUUUCAUAUAAUACAAGAUCUAUAUGCUGAUACCUACUACUAACAUCCUAUGAGCAAUAUACCUAAUGCUUUCUGUUGAGAUAAGAAAAAUUCAAAAUUUUCUAAUGCCUUCACUUUUAUUCAGUUCUGUACUGUUAGUCUUUCCUGUGUGU
rnacentral:lncRNA from 1 species